GAGUUUGAUCAUGGCUCAGAUUGAACGCUGGCGGUAGGCUUAACACAUGCAAGUCGUGCGAGAAAGUAUCUUCGGAUAUGAGUAGAGCGGCGGACGGGUGAGUAACGCGUAGGAAUCUACCUAGUAGAAGGGGAUAGCCCGGGGAAACUCGGAUUAAUACCGUAUACCUCCUUCGGGAGAAAGAAGGCCUCUCUUUGAAGCUUUCGCUAUUAGAUGAGCCUGCGUAAGAUUAGCUUGUUGGUGAGGUAAAGGCUCACCAAGGCGACGAUCUUUAGCGGGUCUGAGAGGACGAUCCGCCACAUUGGGACUGAGACACGGCCCAGACUCCUACGGGAGGCAGCAGUGGGGAAUAUUGGACAAUGGGCGCAAGCCUGAUCCAGCCAUACCGCGUGUGUGAAGAAGGCCCUAGGGUUGUAAAGCACUUUAAGUUGGGAAGAAAAGUUAUUGGUUAAUACCCAAUAUCUGUGACAUUACCAUCAGAAUAAGGACCGGCUAAUUCCGUGCCAGCAGCCGCGGUAAUACGGAAGGUCCAAGCGUUAAUCGGAAUUACUGGGCGUAAAGCGCGCGUAGGUGGUUUAUUAAGUUGGAUGUGAAAUCCCCGGGCUCAACCUGGGAACUGCAUCCAAAACUGAUUCACUAGAGUACGAUAGAGGGAGGUAGAAUUCACAGUGUAGCGGUGGAAUGCGUAGAUAUUGUGAAGAAUACCAAUGGCGAAGGCAGCCUCCUGGAUCUGUACUGACACUGAGGUGCGAAAGCGUGGGUAGCGAACAGGAUUAGAUACCCUGGUAGUCCACGCCGUAAACGAUGUCAACUAGCUGUUGGAAAACUAUGUUUUUCAGUGGCGCAGCUAACGUAGUAAGUUGACCGCCUGGGGAGUACGGCCGCAAGGCUAAAACUCAAAUGAAUUGACGGGGACCCGCACAAGCGGUGGAGCAUGUGGUUUAAUUCGAUGCAACGCGAAAAACCUUACCUAUACUUGACAUACUUGGAAUGCUUUGUAAUGAAGCAGUGCCUUCGGGAGCCAAGAUACAGGAACUGCAUGGCUGUCGUCAGCUCGUGUCGUGAGAUGUUCCGUUAAGUCGGAUAACGAGCGCAACCCUUACCCUUAUUUGCCAGCGAUUCGGUCGGGAACUAUAAGGGGACUGCCGGUGAUAAACCGGAGGAAGGUGAGGACGACGUCAAGUCAUCAUGGCCCUUACGUAUAGGGCUACACACGUGCUACAAUGGAGAAUACAGACGGACGCUAAGCCGCGAGGUGGUGCUAAUCCUAGAAAAUUCUUCGUAGUCCGGGUUGGAGUCUGCAACUCGACUCCAUGAAGUCGGAAUCGCUAGUAAUCGCGAAUCAGCAUGUCGCGGUGAAUACGUUCUCGGGUCUUGUACACACCGCCCGUCAUACCAUGGAAGUGGAGUGCACCAGAAGUAGAUAGUCUAACCUUCGGGAGGGCGUUUACCACGGUGUGCUUCAUGACUGGGGUAAAGUCGUAACAAGGUAACC
rnacentral:rRNA from 1 species